rnacentral:rRNA from 1 species
AACGAACGCUGGCGGCAGGCUUAACACAUGCAAGUCGAGCGCCCCGCAAGGGGAGCGGCAGACGGGUGAGUAACGCGUGGGAAUCUACCCAUCUCUACGGAAUAACGCAUGGAAACGUGUGCUAAUACCGUAUACGUCCUUCGGGAGAAAGAUUUAUCGGAGAUGGAUGAGCCCGCGUUGGAUUAGCUAGUUGGUGGGGUAAAGGCCUACCAAGGCGACGAUCCAUAGCUGGUCUGAGAGGAUGAUCAGCCACACUGGGAGUGAGACACGGCCCAGACUGCUACGGGAGGCAGCAGUGGGGAAUAUUGGACAAUGGGCGCAAGCCUGAUCCAGCCAUGCCGCGUGCGUGAUGAAGGCCCUAGGGUUGUAAAGCUCUUUCACCGGUGAAGAUAAUGACGGUAACCGGAGAAGAAGCCCCGGCUAACUUCGUGCCAGCAGCCGCGGUAACAC